rnacentral:rRNA from 1 species
UCUCCGAAGNGUAGCGCGGUGGUCCCACCUGACCCCAUGCCGAACUCAGAAGUGAAACGCCGUAGCGCCGAUGGUAGUGUGGGGUCUCCCCAUGCGAGAGUAGGGAACUGCCAGGC